GACGAACGCUGGCGGCGUGCUUAACACAUGCAAGUCGAACGGGGUCCAACCGAACUUCGGUUUGGUGACGACCUAGUGGCGAACGGGUGCGUAACACGUGAGAAACCUGCCCCGGUCUCUGGGAUAACAGUCGGAAACGACUGCUAAUACCGGAUACCGUCGGACCACCGCAUGGUGGACCGACGAAAGGGUUACCGGAUCGGGAGGGUCUCGCGGCCUAUCAGCUUGUUGGUGAGGUAACGGCUCACCAAGGCAUUGACGGGUAGCUGGUCUGAGAGGAUGAUCAGCCACACUGGGACUGAGACACGGCCCAGACUCCUACGGGAGGCAGCAGUGGGGAAUAUUGCACAAUGGGCGAAAGCCUGAUGCAGCAACGCCGCGUGCGGGAAGACGGCCCUAGGGUUGUAAACCGCUUUCAGCAGGGAAGAAAAUGACGGUACCUGCAGAAGAAGGUGCGGCCAACUACGU
rnacentral:rRNA from 1 species